GUCUAUGGCCAUACCACCCUGAACGCACCCGAUCUCGUCUGAUCUCGGAAGCUAAGCAGGGUCGGGCCUGGUUAGUACUUGGAUGGCAGAUAUUGUAACACCCAGUAGGAAAAAAAAAAAGGCACCCUGCAUC
rnacentral:rRNA from 1 species